rnacentral:rRNA from 1 species
CCUAUCAGCUUGUUGGUGAGGUAACGGCUCACCAAGGCAACGACGGGUAGCGGGACUGAGAGGUUGGCCCGCCACAUCGGGACUGAGACACUGCCCGGACCUCCACGGAGGGCUGCAGUAACGGAUAUUGGGCAAUGGGCGAAAGCCUGACCCAGCAAUGCCGCGUGCAGGAUGAAGCCCCUAGGGGUGUAAACUGCUGUCAGGGGUCAGAAAGCUGGUUUCGGCCAGUUGAUCAACCCCAGAGGAAGUCACGGCUAACUUCGUGCCAGCAGCCGCGGUAAUACGAAGGUGGCAAGCGUUAUUCGGAAUCAUUGGGCUUAAAGGGCACGCAGGCGGAACAGUGUGUGUUGUGUGAAAUCCCCCGGCUUAACCGGGGAAUUGCACAGCAAACUGCUGUUCUUGAGGCAGGUAGGGGUGCAUGGAACUCUUGGUGGAGCGGUGGAAUGCGUAGAUAUCAAGAGGAACGCCAGAGGUGAAGACGGUGCACUGGGCCUGUCCUGACGCUGAGGUGCGAAAGCGUGGGGAGCGAACGGGAUUAGAUACCCCGGUAGUCCACGCCGUAAACGAUGUCUACUAGGUCGUGGGUGUUCUGACACAUUCACGGCCGGAGCAAAAGUGUUUAGUAGACCGCCUGGGGAGUACGGCCGCAAGGUUAAAACUCAAAUGAAUUGACGGGGGCUCACACAAGCGGUGGAGCAUGUGGAUUAAUUCGAAGCAACGCGCAGAACCUUACCUGGGUUUGACAUGCUUGUAUGCCUUCUCUGAAAGGAGUUAGGCUGCCUUCGGGUGAAACUUGCACAGGUGCUGCAUGGCUGUCGUCAGCUCGCGUCGUGAGAUGUCGGGUUAAGUCCUUUAACGAGCGAAACCCUUGCCGUUAGUUGCCAGCGAGUAAUGUCGGGGACUCUAACGGGACUGCCGGUGUUAAACCGGAGGAAGGUGGGGAUGACGUCAAGUCCUCAUGGCCUUUAUGCCCAGGGCUUCACACGUGCUACAAUGGCAAUUACAGAGCGACGCGAUACCGCGAGGUGGAGCAAAUCGCAAAAAAAUCGCCUCAGUUCGGAUUGCAGGCUGGCAAUUCGCCUGCAUGAAGUCGGAAUCGCUAGUAAUCGCGUAUCAGCAAUGACGCGGUGAAUGUGUUCCUGAGCCUUGUACACACCGCCCGUCAAGUGAUGGA